UAUUUUCAACGGCACCACACCAUAGGAGGACGACAGCAUGCCAUUACAAUCAGGAACUACACGAUAAGAUUUGGCACUGUCGACUCACGGACAAGUGUACAAAUCGAUUGAUCACUUGUCCGAAUGCUUUAUUUAACCUGGCAUUCGCUGGGUUUUUUUAUGCCUGUUCGGAC
rnacentral:ncRNA from 1 species